AGUUUCAGAUAUUACAGCAGUUAUAUCAGGUGGAUGAGAAAUCACCGCCUGUUCCAAUGGAAAACAAUUUUCGUCGGACAGUUGGCUUGAUGAAUCGCACCGUCCGUACAAACAUAAAGACUGCUGGUAAGCGAAAAACUGGUUGUAACCAUGGUGUGGUAACGAAUUAUAAAAUAAACGACAGAUUUCGACAUUAGACAAAUAUUUGACAUGAUAUCAGCGUGGGGUGCUUUUGCGUACGAAUAAAUCAUGAUAUGGCGUAACUUCAGUGUCACAGAAAUAUUUUCAUAGCAUCAGCUAUCAUCCUCUAUGCAAGAGAAGUAGAACGGAGCAUCGGUUGUGGAAUGGAACAGGGCUAUAAAGAGAGAACACCAUUUAAUUAUAUAAAAAUAAAGUCGUCUUGGCAAAGAAGACGAGUGUAAAUGUAUACUUUCUGCGUUAUGUUCCUGAUUCACACAAAACCAGAGACUUGUUAUUCUGCUGACUUCGUGGAACCGAGUUAGUCCAUGGCAAGGCUGUGAGAGUACGUAGUUUCUUGACAUCAUUAACAUUUGCUUGUUCCUUUAAGUGGUUGUGGGCAAGCAGCUCAGCAAGUUCAAACAAGAACAUCUGACAUGGGGCACGUCUAGCUUUACAGGAUUGGUUUGACUUGCAAAGCAAAUUGUGUCAAUGGGAAUGCGGCACAUUGUUUAACCCCGUAGGGUGGCGCUAGUGUGAAGGAGGAGCUUGCACCAUUCUUACGCCAAAAAUGAUUGUUUGCGCAACUUCUACAAAGUUGCAGAGUAUUAGUUUCUACCGUAACGCCGUUCUGUCUUUGUUAUGACGUCGUAAUGGUGAGCUGUGAACCAACGUUUGACGUCAAUAAAAUGGCGCCAAGGUCCUACUGCCGGUUGUUUGACAAGUCCUCAUUGUUGAAUUGUUGAUUUCGCGGUCAUGUCUUCCUACAUAUUCCUACCAGCAUGCCUUGAAUCACUUUGCCAAUUACUUUUAUAUUAGUUACCUGAGAAUUCACGACGUAAGAUAAAAGCAAUCCAACAAUCAACACUGUGAAAGGACUGCUGUUUGGAAAUAACGACGAAGCUGGGAAACGUGUAGCAAUAGGGUACAUAUGACAAUUUUGUCGUGGUGUAAUAAAAAUGAAUUUAUUAAGCUUUGUUUGAGAGUAUAGGCACGAAUUUCACCCUCAGUUAUAAAUAAAAUCAUAUCUGCUUGUAAUUCCUACCAUCCUGGACAACAUUUCUACUGGUAAAUAGAAAACGUUUAACUUCAGUGAUUGAACCCCAUGUGCAUUAUUGAGAACGCUGUUACUAUGAAAUCAAAAUGUCCAUUGAUCAUUAUGUGUAUUUUUGAGAAUCAACACGUUCAACGAUCAAUAAUGUGUAUGUCGGAAUCGGAAUGUCGGUUGUACAUUACUGAUGUACAUUAUUUAGAAUUAAUGCUUUCGUUGAUCAUUAAUGUACAUAUAUACAUAAAAGAUAUAACCACAAA